AACGAACGCUGGCGGCAGGCCUAACACAUGCAAGUCGAGCGCCCCGCAAGGGGAGCGGCAGACGGGUGAGUAACACGUGGGAACGUACCUUUUGCUACGGCAUAGCUCCGGGAAACUGGAAGUAAUACCGUAUGUGCCCUUCGGGGGAAAGAUUUAUCGGCAAAAGAUCGGUCGGCGUCUGAUUAGCUAGUUGGUGGGGGAAUGGGCUACCAAGGCGACGAUCAGUAGCUGGUCAGAGAGGAUGAUCAGCCACACUGGGACUGAGAAACGGCCCAGACUCCUACGGGAGGCAGCAGUGGGGAAUAUUGGAAAAUGGGCGCAAGCCUGAUCCAGCCAUGCCGCGUGAGUGAUGAAGGCCUUAGGGUUGUAAAGCUCUUUCGCUAGGGAAGAUAAUGACGGUACCUAGAGAAGAAGCCCCGGCUAACUUCGUGCCAGCAGCCGCCGUAAAAC
rnacentral:rRNA from 1 species